UGGGGAAUAUUGGACAAUGGGCGCAAGCCUGAUCCAGCCAUGCCGCGUGAGUGAUGAAGGCCUUAGGGUUGUAAAGCUCUUUCGCCAGGGAUGAUAAUGACGGUACCUGGAUAAGAAGCCCCGGCUAACUUCGUGCCAGCAGCCGCGGUAAUACGAAGGGGGCUAGCGUUGUUCGGAAUCACUGGGCGUAAAGCGCAUGCAGGCGGACUGAUAAGUCAGGGGUGAAAGCCCGAGGCUCAACCUCGGAACUGCCUUUGAUACUGUCAGUCUUGAGUCCGGGAGAGGUGAGUGGAACUGCGAGUGUAGAGGUGAAAUUCGUAGAUAUUCGCAAGAACACCAGUGGCGAAGGCGGCUCACUGGCCCGGUACUGACGCUGAGAUGCGAAAGCGUGGGGAGCAAAC
rnacentral:rRNA from 1 species